AUGGAUUCUGCAGAAGCAAUAACUGCCCCGGUCGAGGACUACUCCUACUUGAAGGAAACAGCUCAAGAUUGCAAGGCUAGUUUCUCCUCCGAGAUCACAGAUGCGCGUGACAUUCCUGGCUGCAGCCGCGAGCAAGUUGACAAGAGCGUGGAUUUUGCAGAAGACGUACCAACUAUGGUUGAGAAGGAGUACUUGAUGAAAGCGGCUCAGGAGCUCAAGGUUGAUUUCGACAAGAGAAAAGAGAAGAUGCAUAGGUUCCCUGCAAGCCUGCAGGGUCUGGGCAGCCAGUACAUGGUGCCAAGGGUCGUGGCCAUCGGCCCUUACCACCACGGCUCACCCCACCUCCGGCAGAUGGAGAAGGUGAAGCACGCGGCCGCCUACCACUUCGUCAGCGGGUCAAGCCACUCGCUUGAGGAGAUCUACGGCGCUGUCGUCAAGGUUGCGCACAAGGCCCGCCGACUCUAUGCCGAUGACGCGGUGGCAGGUAUCAGCCAUGCUGACUUCGAGGCUAUCAUGUUCUAUGAUGCUUGUUUCUUGCUCGAGUUCAUGCUUAUUUUCAACAAGAAGCAGCCCCCAUGUCCAGAGUUGCUCGGUGUUUUUCGAUCCAACAAGCUGCAUAUCAGCAAUGAUGUAAUGAUGUUGGAGAACCAGCUCCCCUGGCUGGUUGUGGAAACCCUCCUCAACUUCAGGUCCGUGCCACUGAAGAAGAAAAUUUCUAGGAUGGGAGAAGGUCUCACAAACCAUAUGCAUCCAACCGAAGCAGAACAAGUCCUUUCGGACUUGGACGAAGAGUACAGCCCGCCUCAUCUCCUUGGUCUCCUCCGAUUCUACAAGACAAGAUGCAAGACUGCCAGCAACAAGCCCAACAUAUCCACCAAUAUAGUCAGCAUUAAUAAAUUGGACCGUUCGAAAGCCCGAGCAGCUGCCGAGCCUGACCUCUCUCAUCUAGAAAGACAUAUACCAAACAAGUCCAGGAAAAGACUCGGCUCAACUUCAAUAUCUUCAAGUGCCAUCGAGCUUGCGGAAAUCGGCAUCAAGCUCAAAGCCAUCCAGACAGGAAGUUUCACAGAAAUUGGCCUAAGGAAAGGACCCCUCUUUGCCGAGCUUUUCCUGACACCACUGGUGCUAAGCAGUGUAACGGCAUGCUGGCUCGUAAACAUGGCGGCUUCCGAAGUAUGCACAACCUCAGGGGAUCAACAUGAUGACCAAGAGAUGGCCAUAUGCUCGUACAUCGCCCUCCUUUCGAUGCUUAUGGACCGGGAGGAGGAUGUGCACGAGCUACGAGUGAAGCAUCUUGUGCAAGGAGAACUCACAAACAAGGAGAUGCUCCGGUUCUUCAAGAGCCUUACCAAGCACCUAUCUGUCGGCCGGUCCUACUGCCGUAUCUUGAGACACAUCGAGAGUUACAAGGUCAAUAGGUGGAUGUGGAUUAAGCUGCACAGAUUCAUCUACAACAACUUCAAAACAAUGGUCAUGGUCUUCUCUGUGGUUGGUGUUCUAGCCGGCAUCUUCAAGACGCUCCUCUCUCUCAAGCAACACCAGUAA
rnacentral:rRNA from 1 species